rnacentral:rRNA from 1 species
CUACGGGUCGCAGCAGUGGGGAAUAUUGCACAAUGGGCGCAAGCCUGAUGCAGCCAUGCCGCGUGUAUGAAGAAGGCCUUCGGGUUGUAAAGUACUUUCAGCGGGGAGGAAGGGAGUAAAGUUAAUACCUUUGCUCAUUGACGUUACCCACAGAAGAAGCACCGGCUAACUCUGUGCCAGCAGCCGCGGUAAUACAGAGGGUGCAAGCGUUAAUCGGAAUUACUGGGCGUAAAGCGUGUGUAGGCGGACUUCUAAGUUGGAUGUGAAAGCCCUGGGCUUAACCUAGGAAUUGCAUUCAAUACUGGAAGUCUGGAGUAUGGUAGAGGAAAGUGGAAUUUCCGGUGUAGCGGUAAUAUGCGUAGAUAUCGGAAAGAACAUCAGUGGCGAAGGCGGCUUUCUGGACCAAUACUGACGCUGAGACACGAAAGCGUGGGGAGCAAACAGGAUUAGAUACCCUAGUAGUC